UGCGGGGCGCGCCGAGCCCGCGCCCACCCGGAAGUCGCGCUGAGCCCGCGCCCACCCGGAAGUCGCGCUGGACCUGCGAGCACCGCAGGCAGCCCAGGUUCCGGCCCGCGCCUCUCCCUCCACACCUCCCCGCCAGCAGAGGGAGCCCGCUCAGGCCUCAGCCAGCACAGAGAGGGGCUCCCACGGUGCAGCUGCGGGCUGAAGGGCUCCUCAAGCGCGGCCAGAGUGGGCUGAGGCCGAGGAGGCGCCGAGAGCCAGCGAGGGAUGCCAGCAAGCUGUCACCUCUCAGAAAUACAGGAAGAACAUCAAUAAUGUUCGAAGUUAUAAAGUAUUGCGGAGGUCAGAGGUCAGAAAACAAGGUGUCUGCAGGACCAACCUCUCCUCUGGAUGCUCUAGGAAACGAGUAGAAUUAAGUGAAUUGAUUAUCAUAUCUAACCUAAUGAAUUGGGAGAUAGCCGUGGGCAUUAAAACUGUUUCAAGAAGUGCAACUUAGCGUUCAGGGCUGACCUCAUGAGCUUCCAGAGACAUCAGAGUGUUGAAAUUUCCAGGAUGCAAAACGAAGGGGCAAUUCAAAACAUUCAUCUCCACUUCUCAAAAGUCUUUGAUUACUUGAGAAAAGUGAGUGAGGUGGGGCCAAGAUGGUUGACUAGAAGCAGCUAGUGUGUGCCACUCUCACAAAUAGCAGAAAGAGUGGUGAGACACUAGCUCUUCAACCGGAACAUCCAGGUGGACACAUAAGGAUUCAUCAGUGACAUAGUGUGACCUUCGGAUCACGGAGAAGAGUGAGACAGAUCAACCAUUCACCCAGGAGUGGCACAGACCCAGGGGAAUCCCCCUACAAGAAAAUGGUGAGUGAGUGAGAGUCCCGUGGGAUGCAUAUUUCUGCCACGAACCUUUGAAUCCCUGGGCUCAGGAGAUACCCCAGCUGGGGUCUCCAGACCAAAACAGAGAGCCAUGUGGAGUCUGGGUAGAGCUGCUUCUUAGGUAGGUGUGGAGUCCCAGUAGCAUUUGUUCCCUGGGUACCCCAAAACCAGGGGCUGCAGCUCCAGCAAUUGGGAAGGCCAAGUUUUCUUGCACGCUCCCCAGAAAAGGGGCCAAGUCCAUGGGGCUGAGCAGUGAUAGACUGCAGACCUCACCACCACUGAACCUUGUAGGAUAAGGCCCACUAGCCUGGGAUGCUAGUGAGGCCACCCUAGUCCUCCUGAGUUCUCCAGCUGGGAGCAGCUCUACACUUCUCC